rnacentral:lncRNA from 1 species
AUCGUGAUUAGGAGCCCCACACUGCCUGCUACACAGCUCAAUUGGGUUUUGUGUCCUGGCCUGGCACCUGUGUCCCUCAGAACUGCGCCUCCAAGGUAAUAGGUUUAUGAGCCGAUGAACAGAGCUGAUAGCUUCUAAAUGGAUUAACUAGGUGUCUGCAGUCUGGCGAUGAAUGCAUCAAGCCAAAAGGGGGAAAAAAACAGUGGGGGUGGGGAGAAUUGGUUUGCAUAAAUGGGAGAGUGAUAGGAAGUGUUGACAGAUACGGUGCUCCUCAGGAGCCCCACAGGGUAAACACUGGCUCGGUGCCUGCCAUUCAAGUGCUGUCUCCAUGGGUGAAGAUACCAGGCUGCUUAACAAGCCAGGCAAGUGCUGAGGAACAGGCUGAUUCUGAAAAAGGCAUCGACUGGGUUGGGCUGGCCCACUGGCUACACCGGGGAUGUGCCUGGGCAAUCAUGGUUUGUUUUUUUGUUUUUUGGGUGUUUUUUUUUUUUUUUCCGUGUCUAGUAUGGAGCAUAAACAUGGAAUAGAAUCGUUUGGCUAACUCUAGUCUUGGAAAUAUCUCCAAGAUUUUAUCGAAACCUCCCAAA